rnacentral:rRNA from 1 species
CCUACGGGGGGCAGCAGUGAGGAAUAUUGGUCAAUGGAUGAGAGUCUGAACCAGCCAAGUAGCGUGAAGGAUGACUGCCCUAUGGGUUGUAAACUUCUUUUAUAUGGGAAUAAAAUGUUCCACGUGUGGGAUUUUGUAUGUACCAUAUGAAUAAGGAUCGGCUAACUCCGUGCCAGCAGCCGCGGUAAUACGGAGGAUCCGAGCGUUAUCCGGAUUUAUUGGGUUUAAAGGGAGCGUAGGUGGAUUGUUAAGGCAGUUGUGAAAGUUUGCGGCUCAACCGUAAAAUUGCAGUUGAAACUGGCAGUCUUGAGUACAGUAGAGGUGGGCGGAAUUCGUGGUGUAGCGGUGAAAUGCUUAGAUAUCACGAAGAACUCCGAUUGCGAAGGCAGUUCACUGGACUGCAACUGACACUGAGGCUCGAAAGUGUGGGUAUCAAACAGGAUUAGAUACCCGUGUAGUC